GAUGAACGCUGGCGGCGUGCUUAACACAUGCAAGUCGAACGGGAAAUAUUUCAUUGAGACUUCGGUGGAUUUGAUUUAUUUCUAGUGGCGGACGGGUGAGUAACGCGUGGGUAACCUGCCUUAUACAGGGGGAUAACAGUCAGAAAUGGCUGCUAAUACCGCAUAAGCGCACAGAGCUGCAUGGCUCAGUGUGAAAAACUCCGGUGGUAUAAGAUGGACCCGCGUUGGAUUAGCUAGUUGGUGGGGUAACGGCCCACCAAGGCGACGAUCCAUAGCCGGCCUGAGAGGGUGAACGGACACAUUGGGACUGAGACACGGCCCAGACUCCUGCGGGAGGCAGCAGUGGGGAAUAUUGCACAAUGGGGGAAACCCUGAUGCAGCGACGCCGCGUGAAGGAAGAAGUAUCUCGGUAUGUAAACUUCUAUCAGCAGGGAAGAUAGUGACGGUACCUGAAUAAGAAGCCCCGGCUAACUACGUG
rnacentral:rRNA from 1 species